CUGGCGGCGUGCCUAAUACAUGCAAGUCGAACGGUCUUUCUAUGGAAGCUGCUUCCACUGAGAAGAUAGUGGCGAACGGGUGAGUAACACGUGGGUAACCUGCCCAUAAGAGGGGGAUAACAUCCGGAAACGGGUGCUAAUACCGCAUAGUUUUUCUUGAUCGCAUGAUUGAGAAAGGAAAGACGGCCUUUGUGCUGUCGCUUAUGGAUGGACCCGCGGCGUAUUAGUUAGUUGGUGAGGUGAUGGCUCACCAAGACGAUGAUACGUAGCCGACCUGAGAGGGUGAUCGGCCACAUUGGGACUGAGACACGGCCCAAACUCCUACGGGAGGCAGCAGUAGGGAAUCUUCCGCAAUGGACGAAAGUCUGACGGAGCAACGCCGCGUGAGUGAAGAAAAGGGUUUUCGGAUCGUAAAACUCUGUUGUCAGAGAAGAACAAGUUGGAGAGUAACUGCUCCAGCCUUGACGGUAUCUGACCAGAAAGCCACGGCUAACUACGUGCCAGCCGCUGC
rnacentral:rRNA from 1 species